CCGUGGUUCGUGCCGGGGCUGUCCGGGCGGGAAGCGGCGGCGGGAUCUGCUCUGGAGCCGGGAUUGCUCCUGGCUCCCGAAGGCGCCCCGCAGCUCGGGGAUGGCAGUGGCAAUCUUUGCAAACUGUGUGUUCUUUAUUAUAGUGAAAUUCUUACAUAUUCCGGAGAAGAGUAGGCUGAAAGCAUCCAUAAAAGAAAACGGUAGUCAAUUUUGUGCCUAAUCACAAAAAAUGUGACUAGAGCGUUCACUACAGAUGUUACAUUUGGAGCAGUGGAUGUGAACAAACAAGUCACAGCUGAGGCUGGAACUAAGUAGCAUCUAUGAGUCAUGUAAUUGCUAUAUUACUUAAAUAUAAACAAAUUAUUAAACCGUUACAUUUUUAGGACUGUAUUUACAAUUUACACACAAAUAUUUACAGAAUCUGUCAGUAUUUUAUUCUAAGGCAUCUGGCCUUCCUAGAAGAUUUUGCGUUCUCCUGUAGCUGUUGCUGCUGCAGUGAUUUUUCUCAAAGGUAUUUGAAUCUUUUUCACUAAAAAGUGAAAAAAACAUAGCUGGCACUUCUAGCACUCUGAAGCACCCACAAACAGAAUCCAGGUAUGGCUGUGUCACAGAAAAGCUCAUUAUCACCACUGGAAAACAUUAGUAAAAGGUUAGGUAGGAAAGGAAAGAUCAAUUCCAACCCCUUUUACUUUCACUCACAGGAACUCCUUGCCUGAGAAAUACACUUAAAACUCAAGAGAAUAUCUUAAAAUAUGUGAUUCCAGGUUUUUACUAUCCCACAUGUUUUGUGAAGUCCCUGGCACUUUUAGUUAUUUUCAGCUCCUUUUUAUAUUUUUUCUUAGGUAAGAUAAAAUGCUGCAGAGGUGAAAUGCAAAGCCUUCACAUGACUCAUCUGUCCAUCCAAUGUUGAAAUUGAUUAAAAUAAGUAAGAUGACAGAUAAUAUUUUCUUUCCAGCAAUGAUGUCUUUUCUUAUUCUUCCUUUUCAUCAGUGCUGCUUAGUUUUAAUGUAUUCGUUUGGGGAUUUCUUUCUGAUGACUGCAAUGAUACAGCACCUCCCUCAAGGAAAGAAGGAAAGUGCUUCUUAUUUGUGCAAACCUUUCUUUCCCUAGUGGAAACACUUUAACUUCUUCAGGCGUUUCAUUGUUCCAUUUUUGAAAACCUUUGUUUUUUAUAGCAUCUCUGUUCUUAGCAAGGACAGUGUGUACUUCUGGUUUACAUAUUCUUUUUAAUUCUAGUACUUCUCACAAACUGAUGGUGGCAUUGAUGACUCUAAAAGAUUAUAUCUGUGAUUUUUUUUUUUUUAUUUGGAAUCAGUGCUGUUUGCAGAAGAGUAAAUUGAAUAAGAACAUGAAACCAUCAAAUUCCCUUUUCAGUUUUUCAUGUGAUACCUGGGUUAUAGGUAAAGGACAGGGAAAUUUCACUUUUCAGGCAUUAAAAAUAAAUGACACAUAUAUUUGUUAAAACUCUAAAUUACGGCUAUAUUCUGCUUUUAUUCCAAAAGAAGAAUAAUGAAGAUGUUUGGGUACACGUGUAAUGAAAUAGUAUUUGUCCACUCCCCUGACGAUCUUGCUUCUCCUCCUGUAAGCUUGCAUGCUUCUGUUUCAACCAGAGUUUGAAACAGCAUUUGAAGAGCAGCUGUCCAAUGAAAUUAUUAUUUUAAUAGAUUGCUCAAAUUCUAUGGCAGGCUCAGCUCUGCACCAAGGAAAGCCAAUUGCUUUACAUGUCUUGGAAAUUUUUUUUUUUCAGAGAAAGAAUGAAUAUUCAAAUUUGGCACUGAUGAGUUCCUCUAUUUCCUUUUCACCCAAGCCAGCUGUUACCUACUUGUCAUGGCUUAAUUUUACGCACAUCUUUAUUAUCAAGCCAGCAUAACACACUGAACCACGACCAAGAAUGUGUGGCAGUAUGUAAUACUUCUAUUCUGAUAAGUCAUAAAUCUUAAGCUUGUGUUUCCAUAUUGUUGCUCCAUGCUUAACAUUUUAGUGCUCUUAAAAUCAAUCUUUACUGACAGAUUUCACAGAAUUUUCUUCAUUUUCAAUGAACAUCAUACAUGAUUUGGCAACACUGAAGGGGUUUACUACAGUAAGUAAAUCACUUUGGUUGUAUUCUAAAGAAUGCUUUCUGUGUGGAAUGCUUAUCAUUGCAAAACUCUAACAUGCAACUUUUCCUUUUUUUUUCCUUUAGGCCAGCUUUCAAGAUUUUUCUGUUAUUUAGUCUAUUUUUAAAUUUGCCCUAAUAACAAGCACAAUCACAUCUGAAUAUUAUUUCCCCCUAGAUAUACCUUUUGGAGUCUCAUACCUCUUAUUGCUUGCUCACAGCAGAAAUUACUUCCUUCCUUCUGGAAAUCUGUAAUUUGUAAGUGAAGGCUGCACUUAGACCAAAGAACAUUCAGUGAAAAGGAAAAUGCUUUUGGCACCAAAGGAUCAGCUGUAAUUACUUAGGGCAAGAGGUUUUGGUUAGUGCUGUAUUUAAUCAGUGCCAGAAGUAGAUUAGAACCCAACCAAACACAAACUGCAAAAUUCCCAAUAACCCAUUACCAAGUUAAAGUGUGAAACCCAGGCGCAUGUUUGACAAACCACUAAAGUGAAUUCCCUCCCCAGUAGUGGUUCCAUGGUGAAGCAAUUAACUGGCAUUAGGCAAAUGCUGCUUUAAAGUACUUUGCAGAAAGUACCAUUUUUGUUGUCAAGAAAUAAUUUAAAUGGUAAUGUUGCUUCUUUUUUCUUCUUCCUUGGUUCCA